rnacentral:rRNA from 1 species
UUGACCUCGGAUCAGGUAGGAAUACCCGCUGAACUUAAGCAUAUCAAUAAGUCGGAAGAA